rnacentral:snRNA from 1 species
GGGUGUGAAGCUGAUCGGGAUGUGAUAACUGUCAUCCCAUUAAUUGGUAGAGUUGAUUUGAUGAUAUGGCUGGCUAGAUGGAGGUCCUCUCCUUUUCUCAUUGCCCCUUGGGUGUCCUUCCUAAAGCUGUACACUCAGUGGAAAAGGGAGACUAUUGUACUGGGGACAUAAUUUUUAUCUGGGAUAAAAAAUAAAGCCUUUUACCUUUAAGUAAAUAUUUUAAAGCAACGGCACAUAUAAACAUUUCCCAUGCAAAAAUUUGGCUGCCUUGUUUU